rnacentral:rRNA from 1 species
GGGGGACCUUCGGGCCUCAUGCCAUCAGAUGUGCCCAGAUGGGAUUAGCUAGUAGGUGGGGUAACGGCUCACCUAGGCGACGAUCCCUAGCUGGUCUGAGAGGAUGACCAGCCACACUGGAACUGAGACACGGUCCAGACUCCUACGGGAGGCAGCAGUGGGGAAUAUUGCACAAUGGGCGCAAGCCUGAUGCAGCCAUGCCGCGUGUGUGAAGAAGGCCUUCGGGUUGUAAAGCACUUUCAGCGGGGAGGAAGGCGUUAAGGUUAAUAACCUUGGCGAUUGACGUUACCCGCAGAAGAAGCACCGGCUAACUCCGUGCCAGCAGCCGCGGUAAUACGGAGGGUGCAAGCGUUAAUCGGAAUU